rnacentral:rRNA from 1 species
UACGGGGGGAGCAAGCGUUGUUCGGAUUUGCUGGGCGUAAAGGGCGCGUAGGCGGCCACCGCAAGUCGACUGUGAAAUCUCCGGGCUUAACCCGGAAAGGUCAGCCGAUACUGCGGGGCUAGAGUGCAGAAGGGGCAACUGGAAUUCUCGGUGUAGCGGUGAAAUGCGUAGAUAUCGAGAGGAACACCUGCGGCGAAGGCGGGUUGCUGGGCUGACACUGACGCUGAGGCGCGAAAGCUAGGGGAGCGAACGGG